rnacentral:rRNA from 1 species
GGUUGAUCCUGCCGGAGGUCACUGCUAUUGGGAUUCGACUAAGCCAUGCGAGUCGCGAGGGUUCGGCCCUCGACUGACGGCUCAGUAACACGCGGAUAAUCUGCCCUUAGGUGGAGGAUAAUCUCGGGAAACUGAGAAUAAUAUUCCAUAGAUUUAGGAUGCUGGAAUGCACUUAAAUUACAAGCUUCGGAGCCUAAGGAUGAGUCUGUUGACUAUUAGGUUGUAUUCAGGCUAACCACCUGACCAGCCUACCACGGAU